rnacentral:lncRNA from 1 species
AUAACAAGUAACCAACAGCAACAUCAGCAGUUCCACCAGUCCACCUCCCACUGGCUUCCUCUCCGCCGAUUGCUGCCGUCUGCCAACACCGCGACGUCCUUCCUCUCCCCUGCUCGGCUGCUCGGCUGCUCCGCCUCUGCCGAUUGCUGCCAGACACUUUGUUUUUCUUAUUCGAAUCAGCGAUUAAGCUUUUGAUGUUUUAUUGCUACCGAAACAAUUCUAGCAGUGCAUCAAAGAGGACGCUGGGAAUGAUCGAAGGGGAAAACGUCUUUUGUACAGUUGCACAGUAGGAUACCAACGCAACUGGAAGCCGUAUGAAUAGAAGCCACAUCACCUAACAAAAUAUCUUUUGCACAGGUUAUGCAACUAACAUAACUUGCAAUCAUAACAUGAGAUGUUGUUUUUUGGUAAAACUUAUGUAAUUAAGUAACUUUGACGAGGAUGUAACUAGCAAACGGCUUAGCAGAAAUAUAAAUAUAAUCCCGCCGCAUUGCG